UGGGGAAUAUUGCACAAUGGGCGCAAGCCUGAUGCAGCCAUGCCGCGUGUGUGAAGAAGGCCUUCGGGUUGUAAAGCACUUUCAGCGAGGAGGAAGGUGGUGAACUUAAUACGUUCAUCAAUUGACGUUACUCGCAGAAGAAGCACCGGCUAACUCCGUGCCAGCAGCCGCGGUAAUACGGAGGGUGCAAGCGUUAAUCGGAAUUACUGGGCGUAAAGCGCACGCAGGCGGUUUGUUAAGUCAGAUGUGAAAUCCCCGGGCUCAACCUGGGAACUGCAUUUGAAACUGGCAAGCUAGAGUCUCGUAGAGGGGGGUAGAAUUCCAGGUGUAGCGGUGAAAUGCGUAGAGAUCUGGAGGAAUACCGGUGGCGAAGGCGGCCCCCCUGGACGAAGACUGACGCUCAGGUGCGAAAGCGUGGGGCAGCAAACAGGAUUAGAUACCCUGGUAGUCCACGCUGUAAAACGAUGUCGAUUUGGAGGUUGUGCCCCUUGAGGCGUGGNUUCCGGAGCUAACGNGUUAAAUCGACCGCCUGGGGAGUACGGCCGCAAGGUUAAAACUUAAAUGAAUU
rnacentral:rRNA from 1 species